rnacentral:lncRNA from 1 species
GGGCAUAGACACACUGACACAGGACAAGAACAAAAGAAAAUUCCUCCUUAAUUAGGCAGCAGGAGACAUGAUUCUACUAUUUUUUUUCUCUUAAUGCAACAGCUAGCUAAGUAGUAGCAGCUACCUUAGUUACACAACACAAGAGUGGUAUAAAUAUUAUAUAAUCGAUUACUAGCUACAAUAUGUAUGUGUACACUGGCCUUUGGCAGCACACAAGAGUGAUCAUUGUUCAUUACCCCCCUAAGUAAAACAAAGACCAACCAAAUUGCAUUAGUUUAUGGCUAGUGGUGGCCAAAGCAUGAUUAGUUAUAAUACAAACAACCGCAUCAAACACCAGAGAGAGAGAGGAAGUGAAAUGCAGGGAUAGGUUUUUAAAAUGGGCGCCCAAUCCAUUGAGCCACAAUAAGAGAUCAUCUUCAUUAUUUGGGAUCAAAGAAAUCAAUUGUAUAUAUGCAACAUGACCUAAUUUUGCAAGGGCGUUCAUGCAGCAUGCACACACCCCUUUAACAUAGUAAUCAACAUAGAUCUAUAGAAAUCUAGAUAUGUAGCAGUGGUGUCAAAACCAACAAUCUAUAACAACUCCACUAAUAUCAGAUUUGGGUAUCAAAGUUAAGCAAAAGUAGGAGUAACUAAUGGAAAAGAUCAAGACUGUCAAGCAAAAAAUUAAAAAAAAAAUUGGAAAGAAUUGGGUGCUAGAGCUAGUGGUAGAAGGAAGCUGGCUCACCAAGUUGAAUGCUCAAAGAUCCUCUCUUUCUUCUCCCAAUGGCGCCUUCUCAUGCAACGUGUCCAUCACACACCACACCUCUCGAUCUCUUCUUCUUCCUCCUCUGGAUCUCCUCCCAGAUGUACUAGCAAUCAAUCCAACCUCGAGUAGCCAUGAAAAUGGCAGCUAGCUAGGAGCCUAGCACCAUUGCUUGAUCGCUAGCUAGUAGCUAGAGUGCUACUAGAUCGUUCGUUGCAUGCAUGCACUGAGACUAUCAGUUCAUCCUUCGAAAGAUCCGAUCUUUUUGUUUGUGCCAAUGCGAUGGAUCGAGUGGGUAACUUACUUUGCGAUCAAGACGCCAUUAAUGGAGCUCUCGAGGUCGGACGGCGCCGCUGUUGAUCACUUGCGGAGUGCGCCAUUGCCGCUGCGCGCGGUUAAUGGCUGAAGGCUGAAGCUACUGUGGCUGCCACGACGAGACCGACAU